AAUGCGGCGUGUCCCUAAGGCUUCAUCGUGCCCUCCCCUCCUCCCCCCAUUUCUCCAUCUUCCUCGUUUCGGCAUUAGUGUGUGGCGGUUACCGCUGUCGUGAGCUCACGCUAUCCUGGUCUGUCAUCUUGUGUCGUUUGCCUGAUCGCUUGUUUCCUCUGCGCGUGUCGGUGUGUAACUCCCUACAUUGCGCAGCCGGUGUGGUGGCCGAACUGUUUUUUUCUUCAGCGUGGUAGUGAGUGGCAUUGCUUCAGUUGUCAUCCUUCGUGACCCUGCCCCUCCCCCCCACCACCACCACCACCAGAGCACCCCAUCUAGCUGUUCUUUGGGUACGUUUGUGGGUGGGCGGUUGCGCCAAUAGACGUCCACACGCACGGACACCGCGGUAUACUUGUCUUUUGCCUGCCUCCAUCUUAUACACGCAUCGGGCCCGCUCAUCUCUGCGCUCAGCUCGCUGCUGCCGGUGUGGCACCGCCGCCAUCGUCGCCACCAUGCCUCUGUACAGCAUCACGAUAUGCCCAUUGAAGCUCACUGCAUACUUCUGCCGCCAGGGCUCCGUGUAUGUGGUGGUGAUGUCGCGCAAAGGGCUUGAGAUCGCCACGAACCCGUCGAUGUGCAACAGCAGCAACGAGGUCAUCUUCUCCGACGCCGACGGCCUCAGCAGCGCGAAGCCGUUUGAGCUGUCCUUCAACUCACCAAAAGACCGGCGAAUACUGAACUUUGGCAUUUACGACUUCACCAACCGCAAGAACGCGGCCAAGCUCACGGGGUUCGAGAUCCCGCUGGCGGGCAUGUGCAGCGUGCUUGCUGGUGAGUCCAUGUGUGAGAAGAAGGGUAUCUCGUUCCGCGUUUCCGGCCAGUCGGGGCGCCUCGACAUCAUCUUUCGCAUGCACCCCGUUGGCACACCGGUCCCGCCGUUGCGUGCGGCGCAGACAAACGAGUCCAUACCCGGAGUGGCAGCCGAUGCGCUGGGUGCCGCUUCCCAUCGCAGUGCGACGGCGGUCUCACUGGGGUCCGGUGGCGGCGGCGACGUCGGCGCUGGAUCGACCAGGCUCACCCGCCUGCCGGAGCAUACGCUGCAGGCCCUCAUACGUGAGGGAAUCAUCUCGAGCGACCUGGAGGGGGUGGAGAUGGACCUUGACCUGGCGAAUGAGAUCGCCGUGCGCACCUCCGUCCUCUUCCCCAGCCGCACCGACCUCGAGGACCAGAUCCGCACGCUAACGCGAGAGAUCCAGAAGCUAGAGUACGAUGCGCAGUACGCCGCGAAGGACAAGGUCGUCGCCGGCUCUGCUGCGUCCGCCGCGCUACGGAACGAGAUUAACUACUGGAAGGAGAAGGUGAAGGACAUCGACGACAAGUCCGCGCACGAUGCUGGCAUUGCGCAGAGGACCGAAGAGCCGGAGCCGCAGCCGGCCAUCUCGCAGGAAUACAUUGCUGGAAUCGAGGCGCAGCUGGCGGCGAAGCAACUCGAGAUGCGCAGCCUCGAAGCGCAGCAAAGUCACCGCGACGUCACGGAGGACGCGAUGAGGCUCUUGGACCAGAUCGAUCACUUGCAGACGAUGUUGGUGGAACUGAAGAGUGAGGGAGCCGCUCCAGCAACGCUGAAGACGAAGGAUUACGACAUUGCCGAGAACGGCGACCGCUGGGACAAGCUGGCCGCCAAGCUUUACGAUGCCGAGAGCAUGACGGAGCAACUCAAGCAGACGGUGAUGGCGCUGAACCGCGUGCAGUACGAGCCCUACCUUGCCGGCGUGGAGGCUGGGUUUAUGCACACUGUGCCAAAGGAGUUGGAGUUUGUGAUGCAAAACCAGCGCACGCCAGGCAACCUGCCGCCCCAGAUCAGCAACCCCACGUCAUUGGCGGCGGCCCCACCGACCGGCCAACUCGCUGGAGGCGACGCGACGGGAGACAUACUGGACGACUUGUUUGGCGCAACUCCGAUGCAGGCGCAGCCAGCUGCCGCGCCGGAAAAACCGGCCGCUUUUCCUUCCCAGUCCCUCUCAUGCACGGCGUACGAGCCUCCCAAGGCGGCGCAAGUCACGCCUGUUUGGGCACCAUCAGCUGGCAGUUCUGCACCCAGCUCGUCCCCUGCUCCACAGCCGUCGCAGUCGUUGCCUGCUACAUCCGGUGCCCCAGAAGCUUCGCUGCCGCCGGUUGCGGCAGCGGGCCCCGCGGAAGCCCACCCUGCGCCAAACUCUCUGACAACGCCGACAGUGAGCGCACCGCCAGCACCGCCCACGCCAGCUGCUCAGCUCGACCCCACGGCUGCGGCGCCUCAGUUGGAGGUGGCCGAGCCGAAUGUGUUGCCUGCGCACGUCUCGCCCAACCAGGGCUUCCCCGCCGGCACGCCGGUGCCGAAUGCGUCCUCUCUGGGCGCAGAGGGAGCAGUGCCCGAGACCCGUGUGACCCACCGAAGCUCUGGCAUGACAAGCGCAACUGCAUCUCCGAUGGCGGCACCAGCGAAUGUUGCACCGCCUUCACUGGAAGUGCCAAUGCAAACCCCACCGUCGAACUCACUAGCUGUCACUCAGAGCAGCCUUGAAACGCCAGCGGCGCCGCUUCUGCAACCACAGCCGCAAAACGCACCCCCAGCUCAGCAACAGCAGCCCCCGCAGCCAAGCUACGGUGCCACGAUUGCCGGGACGGCUUCCUACCAGGGGCAAGACGCCGGGCAGCGGUCAGGCUACCCACCCCAGCAGCAACCGCAGCAGCAGCAGCAGGGGCCACCAGUGCCGCCCUUCGAGCGCCGUCCACCGUCACUGGAGGAGAUCCCGUACACUGGCUUCUACGGCAUUCCACUCAUGGCCCGUGGCUGCCCUAUCGACAUCUAUCUUGACGGCAAGAACCCAACGCGUGGCACGGAGCUGACCUUCAUCAACAACGCCGACUAUCAAAUCAUGAUCGGCGGUGUGGAGCUGAAGCAGGAGGACAUCUUCUCCCCUGACCCGAAUAGCGCCAAGACGAUUCCGACACAACGGUGGCCGCAGCACAUCUGGGUGCCGGGCGGCGGCAGCCGGCAGAGUUGCACCAUCGCCCUUCACCCGUCCUUCCCCCGUGGGUCGUCCAUCAUGGCGCUCGUAAUUGUGUACGUCUUCAACGAAGGACACUACACUCCGUUCACAGCGCGCUUCACCAUCUAAUGCGCCGGGGCGCGCCCCGCUUCCCUCCCUGGAGAGUACGGUUGGGGGAAGAAGAAGGGGCGUGUGAGUACGUCGAUGGUGAUUGAUGAAGGCUGAGAUAUGCGUGUCGGUAUCUAAAGCAGCAGGCCGCCCCUUCCUCUCUCUCUAUGCCUGUGCGUGUAUGUGUGAGUGUGUGCGUGUGUGCAUCGAUGGGUGUUUGUGCGGGUGUGCCCUUUUCUCUUUCCGUGUUGACGAGCACUUUACUUUGGUUGGUGUGGCGGCCGAAGCGGGUGGAGGAUGUCCGUGUUAGUCUCGGUGUGCUCUUCCCUUGCGCCGUUCAUGUGUUCGUAUCGAGCGUUGUAGUUGCUCCCGCCUAUCAGCCGAUGGCGCCCCAUUUCAUUGACUUUAUUUAUUUUGUAUUUGCUUGACGGUGGCUCUGUCUGAGGCGUCUCCGCUUUCGCUUUUUUCUCUUUGAUGCCGCCGCCUCCGUGUACAUAUCUCCGUCAGUCGGUGCGUGCGUACGUGCGUGUUUGCAUAUGCAUGGGUGGGCGGGUCAGUGACUUGGUGUGGGCUCCGUAUUAUAGCGACUGUCCGCGGGAGUGGAUAGUGCAGGAGCUCACUAAUGAAACGAAACCGUCACUGGCGGUGGCCCCCCCCCCACACACACACACCACCCUCUCUCUCUCUCCUAUCGCGCUGCAUCUCUUCCUUUGAGUUCGAAUCGUUGAAGUUCGUCUGUCUCCCUCACACUCUCCCUCUCCCUCCGUGUUUGUGUUCGCUUCGUUUGGUUCCUCUUGUCAUUCGCGUUCUUGUUAGAGCGCGUGCAACGAUAUUCAUCGGCGUGUCGGGGGGUGCAGUGCGUGAGCGCGUGCGUCUGAGUGAGAACCACGGCGGCUAGCACAUGACUGUGUCUGGCAUUUAGCUCUUCCCUUCCUCUCUCUGUGGUCCCUGAUGACAUGCGACACCUCUCCGUGCGUGGCGUCAGGGCCCGGCGCGCCUGCUCUCGGUGGGGGGUGGGGGCCGUGGAGCCCCCGCCACCCCUCCCAAUGCCGAGCCACCCCUGGUGGUGACAGGGUCGCGUGCCCACGACACGGCGAGGUCAGUGGGAGUCAUCGCUGCUGAUGUCGGCGGUGAGGUCCCAGAUGGCGGUGCGUGGGAGAGACCCGCGACAGCGAGCACACGCUUGUGCCAUCCACGUUAUGUGCAGAGUGCCAGCGCCACCCCUAAAGGUGCACAGGGUGGCGGCCGGCAUGAUGGAAGGAGCGGCUGUUAGGCGGGUGGUGGGUAGGGUUGGAGGCAUGGGUCGUGCUCAACUGACCGGGUCAGCGCGUGGCUGUGGCGCUUGUGUCCAGGGCUGCUUCGCACCACGCGAUGUGGUGGUGGGGGGGAGGGCGAGUGGGGCGUUGAACUGAUGGUGCUCUAUGGCAGAGAAAUGGGCACACGGAGUAUGAAAACGUCUCUUGCUGUGUUCUUGGGCUUUUCCUUUUUAGUGCGUGGUUUCCUUUACCGUUUCCACUGGUCGUCUCCCAGCCACUCGAUUGCUUAUGAGGAAUGCGCACGUUGCUCCCGACCGGAUGGUACAGAGAGAGAGACACGGCUGUGUGUGUGUGUGUGUGUGUGUGCUGCAUGGUGCAUGAAACAAGGCGCAAAGAAGGGGUACUACUUCUGUAAGGUGCG
rnacentral:misc_RNA from 1 species